UACAGAGGUCUCAAGCGUUGUCCGGAUUUAUUGGGCGUAAAGAGCGUGUAGGCGGCCAGGUAGGUCUGCUGUGAAAAACUCGAGGCUCAACCUCGAGACGUCGGCGGAAACCAUCUGGCUAGAGUCCGGAAGAGGAGAGUGGAAUUCCUGGUGUAGCGGUGAAAUGCGCAGAUAUCAGGAAGAACACCCCGUGGCGAAAGGCGGCUCUCUGGGGACGGUACUGACGCUGAGACGCGAAAAGCGUGGGGGAGC
rnacentral:rRNA from 1 species